rnacentral:tRNA from 16 species
AGAACCGUUGCCUUGUUGAGAUUCUGAAGGCGGGUUCGAUUCCUUUUCACG